rnacentral:misc_RNA from 1 species
AUGUUUAAAAAUUCCCAACCACCUUCAUCUAUAAACCUUUGGGGAUCUUCAGUUAUGGUCUUCAGUACUUCACGCCAAUUCAGGUUCAUCUUGCUCUCAUAAUACUUGAUGUCAGUUGUGUCAAGCCACUCCUUGAUGCCAUCAAGUGCAGAGACAGGAAUUGAAUCUAUGCGCAUGACAUCACGCUUGAAGUCCUUGAAGACAAUUGCCAUAUCAAAAUUCUUCUGCCCAAAUCCAACUCUCUCCAAGUUGACAAUCUCAAUAUCACUUAAGGUUAUUACGAGAAAUGGGGUCUCUAUCAGCUCAACCAAACAGCUUGAGGUUGGCACAAUGAAUGCUGAUGAUUUAUAGGGCACCCCAUGGAACCCAAGUUCUCUCAGAGGUUGAUCAAACUCCAGGUCAAGUCCUUUAAGCUGGGGCUGGCUCCACACAUCAUUCACCCGGUUCACAAAAUUCUGAAAGUCCAUGUUGAAUUUGUUCUUCCGAUCUCUUUCUCUCUGUUCUUCCUCAAUCUCAUCUGGG